rnacentral:rRNA from 1 species
AGUGAACGCUGGCGGUAGGCCUAACACAUGCAAGUCGAACGGCAGCACAGUAAGAGCUUGCUCUUACGGGUGGCGAGUGGCGGACGGGUGAGGAAUACAUCGGAAUCUACUUUUUCGUGGGGGAUAACGUAGGGAAACUUACGCUAAUACCGCAUACGACCUACGGGUGAAGGCAGGGGAUCUUCGGACCUUGCGCGAUUGAAUGAGCCGAUGUCGGAUUAGCUAGUUGGCGGGGUAAAGGCCCACCAAGGCGACGAUCCGUAGCUGGUCUGAGAGGAUGAUCAGCCACACUGGAACUGAGACACGGUCCAGACUCCUACGGGAGGCAGCAGUGGGGAAUAUUGGACAAUGGGCGCAAGCCUGAUCCAGCCAUACCGCGUGGGUGAAGAAGGCCUUCAGGUUGUAAAGCCCUUUUGUUGGGAAAGAAAAGCAGCAGGUUAAUACCCCGCUGUUCUGACGGUACCCAAAGAAUAAGCACCGGCUAACUUCGUG